rnacentral:rRNA from 1 species
UUGGAGGGCAAGUCUGGUGCCAGCAGCCGCGGUAAUUCCAGCUCCAAUAGCGUAUAUUAAAGUUGUUGCAGUUAAAAAGCUCGUAGUUGAAUUUCGGGAUCAAUGUUUCGGUCAUGCCGUUGGUAUGUACUGAUAUUAUUGAUUUCUCACCUUCUAAAGAACCGUAAUGCCAUUAAUUUGGUGUCACGGGGAAUUAGGACUGUUACCUUGAAAAAAUUAGAGUAUUUAAAGCAGGCUCACGCUUGAAUACAUUAGCAUGGAAUAAUGAAAUAGGACAUCCGAUCCUAUUUUGUUGGUUUCUAGGAUCGAUGUAAUGAUUAAUAGGGAUAGUUGGGGGCAUUAGUAUUCAAUUGUCAGAGGUGAAAUUCUUGGAUUUAUUGAAGACUAACUACUGCGAAAGCAUUUGCCAAGGAUGUUUUCAUUAAUCAAGAACGAAAGUUAGGGGAUCGAAGACGAUCAGAUACCGUCGUAGUCUUAACCAUAAACUAUGCCGACUAGGGAUCGGACGAUGUUAAUUUUUCUUGACUCGUUCGGCGCCUUACGGGAAAC